rnacentral:rRNA from 1 species
GAUGAACGCUAGCGGCAGGCCUAACACAUGCAAGUCGAGGGGUAGAACACUUCGGUGUUUGAGACCGGCGCACGGGUGCGUAACGCGUAUGCAAUCUACCUUGUACAGGGGAAUAGCCCAGAGAAAUUUGGAUUAAUGCCCCAUAGUAUAUAACCUUCGCAUGUUGGUUAUAUUAAAGUUCCAACGGUACAAGAUGAGCAUGCGUCCCAUUAGUUAGUUGGUAAGGUAACGGCUUACCAAGACGAUGAUGGGUAGGGGUCCUGAGAGGGAGAUACCCCACACUGGUACUGAGACACGGACCAGACUCCUAAGGGAGGCAGCAGUGAGGAAUAUUGGUCAAUGGGCGCAAGCCUGAACCAGCCAUGCCGCGUGCAGGAAGACGGUCCUAUGGAUUGUAAACCGCUUUUAUACAGGAAGAAACCCUCCCACGUGUGGGAGAUUGACGGUACUGUAGGAAUAAGGAUCGGCUAACUCCGUGCCAGCAGCCGCAGUAAAAC